AUGUAUGUAUAUCUGAAGUACGAUGGUAUUCCAUACACAAUAUCAUGGAGAAUCCUAGAAAAUCCAGGCCCCUACAUAAACGGGACCAAGUGCUGUAAAUUAUGCAUAGCGGAACGGGCGAAGAUCU